rnacentral:rRNA from 1 species
CAGGACGGCCAUAGGGAUGGAGUUCACCUGUUCCCAUUUCGAACACAGAAGUUAAGGCCAUUUCCGUUCCUGGUUGUACUGCACUGCGCGGGAACCCAGGUUAGCUGUUUGUU